rnacentral:rRNA from 1 species
AUUGAACGCUGGCGGCAUGCCUUACACAUGCAAGUCGAACGGCAGCAUGAUCUAGCUUGCUAGAUUGAUGGCGAGUGGCGAACGGGUGAGUAAUACAUCGGAACGUGCCCUGUAGUGGGGGAUAACUAGUCGAAAGAUUAGCUAAUACCGCAUACGACCUGAGGGUGAAAGUGGGGGACCGCAAGGCCUCAUGCUAUAGGAGCGGCCGAUGUCUGAUUAGCUAGUUGGUGAGGUAAGGGCUCACCAAGGCGACGAUCAGUAGCUGGUCUGAGAGGACGAUCAGCCACACUGGGACUGAGACACGGCCCAGACUCCUACGGGAGGCAGCAGUGGGGAAUUUUGGACAAUGGGGGCAACCCUGAUCCAGCAAUGCCGCGUGUGUGAAGAAGGCCUUCGGGUUGUAAGGCACUUUUGUCCGGAAAGAAAUCGCACUUACUAAUAUUAGGUGUGGAUGACGGUACCGGAAGAAUAAGGACCGGCUAACUACGUGCCAGCCGCCGCAGUAACAC